CCCUUAGAUGUUCUGGGCCGCACGCGCGCUACACUGAUGCAUUCAACGAGUCUAAAACCUGCUCUGAUAGGGGUGGGUAAUCUUUUGAAUGUGCAUCGUGAUUGGGAUAGAUGAUUGCAAUUUUUCAUCUUCAACGAGGAAUGCCUAGUAAACGCAAGUCAUCAGCUUGCAUUGAUUACGUCCCUGCCCUUUGUACACACCGCCCGUCGCUCCUACCGAUUGAAUGAUCCGAUGAAUAUCAUGGAUUGAGGAUGCAAGCAGGUUCGCCUGUCUUCAUCUUCGAGAAGUGAAGUAAAUCUUAUCAUUUAGAGGAAGGAGAAUUCGUAACA
rnacentral:rRNA from 1 species